GGGCAAGAAUAUGGGCGUUGGAGCCAGGUAAAUCUGAGUAUAAACACCUUCCUAGCUGCAUGACUGCUGGGACAUGCAUGUGUAGUGGUGAGCCAGCUUUUACCAAACAGAUGAGGACGGCACAAUGGAUGAUUAAAUGGUGGAGUAAUGGGACCGAAGGAAGGUCCCUGGAUAACUGAGUGAAGCCGAGCCACCUGCACCCUGGACCUUCUGCCUGCCUCUGUUGUGUUUUGUGAGAGAGAAAUAAACCUCCAGCUUGUUCAAGCCA